rnacentral:rRNA from 1 species
AGAGUUUGAUCCUGGCUCAGGAUGAACGCUAGCGACAGGCUUAACACAUGCAAGUCGAGGGGCAUCAUGAGGUAGCAAUACCUUGAUGGCGACCGGCGCACGGGUGAGUAACGCGUAUGCAACCUGCCGAUGACUCGGGGAUAGCCCAUGGAAACGUGGAUUAACACCCCAUAGUACUUUUAUCCUGCAUGGGAUGUGAGUUAAAUGUUUAAGGUAUCGGAUGGGCAUGCGUCCUAUUAGUUAGUUGGCGGGGUAACAGCCCACCAAGACGAUGAUAGGUAGGGGUUCUGAGAGGAAGGUCCCCCACAUUGGAACUGAGACACGGUCCAAACUCCUACGGGAGGCAGCAGUGAGGAAUAUUGGUCAAUGGACGAGAGUCUGAACCAGCCAAGUCGCGUGAGGGAAGACUGCCCUAUGGGUUGUAAACCUCUUUUAUAAGGGAAGAAUAAGUUCUACGUGUAGAAUGAUGCCUGUACCUUAUGAAUAAGCAUCGGCUAACUCCGUGCCAGCAGCCGCGGUAAUACGGAGGAUGCGAGCGUUAUCCGGAUUUAUUGGGUUUAAAGGGUGCGUAGGCGGUUUAUUAAGUUAGUGGUUAAAUAUUUGAGCUAAACUCAAUUGUGCCAUUAAUACUGGUAAACUGGAGUACAGACGAGGUAGGCGGAAUAAGUUAAGUAGCGGUGAAAUGCAUAGAUAUAACUUAGAACUCCGAUAGCGAAGGCAGCUUACCAGACUGUAACUGACGCUGAUGCACGAGAGCGUGGGUAGCGAACAGGAUUAGAUACCCUGGUAGUCCACGCCGUAAACGAUGAUCACUGGUUCUGUGCGAUAUAUUGUACG